GGGCCGGUAGCUCAGCCUGGUAGAGCACCUGACUUUUAAUCAGGUGGUCGCGAGUUCGAAUCUCGUCCGGCCCA
rnacentral:tRNA from 1 species